rnacentral:rRNA from 1 species
GACGAACGCUGGCGGCGUGCCUAAUACAUGCAAGUCGAGCGGACAAAACAGGAGCUUGCUCUUGUGUGGUUAGCGGCGGACGGGUGAGUAACACGUGGGUAACCUGCCUGUAAGAACGGGAUAACUCCGGGAAACCGGAGCUAAUACCGGAUAACACCGAAGACCGCAUGGUCUUUGGUUGAAAGGCGGCUUUGGCUGCCACUUACGGAUGGGCCCGCGGCGCAUUAGCUAGUUGGUGAGGUAAGGGCUCACCAAGGCGACGAUGCGUAGCCGGACGGAGAGGGUGACCGGCCACACUGGGACUGGGACGCUGCCCAAACCCCUGCCGGAGGCAGCAGGAGGGAAUCCUCCGCAAUUGGCGGAAGUCUGACGGAGGGACGCCGCGUUAGCGAAGAAGGGCUUCGGAGCGUAAAGCUCUGUUGUUAGGGGAGAAGGAGCUCCGUUCGAACAGGGCGGCGCGGUGACGGUACCUAACGAGAAAGCCCCGGCUAACUACGUG